GCCUUCGUGGUGUAGUGGUCAGCACACUCGGCAGGUAUUCGAGAGGUACGUGGUUCGAGUCCCGCGAGGGCA
rnacentral:tRNA from 1 species